GCUGGUUUGGCUCAGUGGAUAAAGCAUUGGCCUGUGGACUGAAGUGUCUCAGGUUCGAUUCUGGUCAAGGGCA